rnacentral:lncRNA from 1 species
GCUUUAAAACAGUGUUUCUCCGGCCAUCUGAAUUAAAGGACAACUUGUGGGAUUUUUUGGUUUUGUUUUGUUCUUUCAUUUACUUAGGGACCAGUGAGCAUGACCAGUCUGUGCAAGUCUGACAACAGCGGAACUGGGUCUAUCCCCUACUCAGAAAGGCAAGUCCUCGGAUCACAUGCUUGGAUGGGGCGCUAAUGCCAACUUGCAAAUUCAGAGUUGAGUGAAGAGAGGAACCUGUUGAACGCCUGGGCUGGAUGAUGAGAGAGUGCGAAGAAAAUCCUGGAGAAGAUGUCUGUGCCCAUGGCUGUGAAGGGCCCAGGCUGAUGUGAAUGUGCUGCACUGGGCAAGUGAGUUGAGUGUGUGUGGCAGCGGGCGCAUGCGGCACAUGGGCUGUGCGCUGGAGCGCGCUGUGUGUACGCCGCACAAGGAGAGAGCCCUGGUCCAGGAGUCUCACAGUCUGGGAUCAAGUCCCAGCUCAGCAGGCACUGAGCCCUGUGAACUUCAACCCCUGCACUAUCUGGAAGUGAGAAGCCGAGGUUUCUCCUGCUUCCCUGGCCAUGGAACUCCAGAGUGCAUGUGGGGGCACUUGGGGAUGUGAGUGAGUGAGG